AUAGAAAAUAUAAACCAGCCACCACAAACAGUAUCUAAAGUGCCACAAGCCCAUACGAACAUAAGAAUGGCUCGUUCCCUUGUCUCAAUGAUUUUGAUCAAAGCUAUCUUUGCAGCCAUGAUUAUUGUUCUAUUUUCUCAAGGUGUGAGGAGCGAACAAUACUGUCCAGGAACAUGCCAUGACUAUCCUUCAUGCAGUACCUUCUGCCAGUUGAUAGGCUUUCAGAUAGGCAUGUGCAUACCACCUCAAAAUCAGUUCUGUUGUUGCUCCAGAAAAUGAUUAGUAUUUUUUUUAUCGAAGAGUUUUCUUCGUAUGGAUACAAUCAAGCAAUGUAUUUUUUCUAUUGAAUGAUUAAUAACUUCAUUGCUGGGAAUAAAAAAUAGUAUGAAAAUUGGUAUCUCA